CGUGCAGCGCGUCAACGGCAGCAUCUCGUUAUCGGCCCUCUCCCCUCAUUACCACCGCCUCGCUUUGAGGCCAGAGCACCAUCGCCGCCUCGCACACCACCGUCGGGAUCGCAGAGGCAGCUUUCAUCCUCUACCUCUCCGCAGCCCCGAUUCUCGUAACGUCAUCCCCUGGGCAACUACCUGCCAAGUACUUUGGCAACGGCCGCCCCUCCGUCGGCAUCCUCAACGCGUCGCCCAAGGGCAUCGCCGCCUACCCGCAGACCGUGCACGUCAUCAAAUACGAGGUGCGGCACGCGCGCAGCCUCAGCGCCAACACCUCGGCGCACAGCACGAUCCUCAAAAACCUUCACGGCAAUGGCUACGCUCCAGCCAGCCAACACCGCCAAGGUGGCCGAAAAAGCAAAGGUGCAGUUCGGCUGCAGCACGCAGGCCUCUAUCAACGCCAACUACAGCUCUGGCACCCCGGCAUCCUGCUCAGCAAAACCUACGGCAUCGCGUCACGCCGCUUCCGUACGCCGGCCGGCGUCACGCAGGGCUACUAGUCGAGGCGCAUCGCGACGUCAGCAGCGGCGCUAGGGUCGCAGACUCGACUCUUUCCACCAUUUGCGAGUUCGUCGCCUCCGGCUGAGGUCUCCUGGGUGUGUUAUUGCUGACGUAAGCCGCCGGCACUCAGUCUUUUGCUUUCACACCUCUGUACGGAAGCCUUGGCCUGAUUUUCGCUCUCUUUUCGUUCUCUCUUCCAUGCCCCUCAUGACGGGGAACACCUCAGCGUGGCAUAAAGGGGAAUGGGCAUGUUGAAUAAAGGUAUCUCUUCCGUUUGCAUUUGUGCUCCUCGCCUUCCUCUGUACCCCCCCCUUCCCUGCCCACCUACUCUCGCCCCUCUUCUUUCAUUUCUUCCCUAUCUGUGGCUUAUUGUUCCAACGCGUAUUUGUCGCCAUAUGCGCUCUGGAGGGCAG
rnacentral:misc_RNA from 1 species